ACGUCUUUGCUAUAACACUUUCAAAAGGACUAUACUUCUUUUUCUCAACUAUUUAACUUCUCGAGCCAAAAUCUUAAUCGGUUCCUCACCAUAAGUCAUAUUCGGUCGAAUCUCGACCUCUGUUGGUGAAACCACGUGCAAAGGAUUAGAUCAGUAUCGGUGCAACAUAGACACAUGGAACACAUCAUGAAUCUUUUCCAACCCUGAUGGUAAGGCCAAUCGAUAAGCA
rnacentral:lncRNA from 1 species